AAACUGCGAUAAGCAAUGCGAAUUGCAGAAUCCGCGAGUCAUCAGAUUUUCGAACGCAGCCGGCACUGUGAGUUAAUAACUUGCAGUAAGUUUGUUUCAGUCUUAUUGAUUAUUACACAUCAAAAUGCGAUUGAACUUCGGUUCUCUCGUCAAAUGUGAAUACGACGUAUUUCAAUCCAACGAAGCAGUCACGGUCUAUGACUUGUGAUUUCGCUGGCUCUUGUACUACGAUUAGUAUCGAGACGUUAGUCUUUAACAAUAAUUAUAAGCUGAAAUCAAGCUGGAUUACCCGCUGAACUUAA
rnacentral:misc_RNA from 1 species